UAGAAUAGCAUGGCCCCUGCACAAGGAUGAAUGGCACAAUUCGAGAAAUGGUCCAAAUUUUU
rnacentral:snRNA from 2 species